rnacentral:rRNA from 1 species
AUUGAACGCUGGCGGCAGGCCUAACACAUGCAAGUCGAACGGGAACGGGAAGCGGCUUGCUUCUUUGCUGGGGCGAGGGGGUCAGGUAAGUGAUGUCUGUGAGAAUGCGUGAUGGGGGGGGAUAACUGCAGGAAACGGUAGCACAUGCCGCAUAACGUCACGGGAGCAAAGAGGGGGACAUUCAGGCUCCUUGCCGUCGGAUGUGGCAAGAUGGGAUGAGCGAGUAGGUGGGGAAAACGCUCACCAAGUCGACGAUCCGCAGAGGGUCGCAUAGGAUGACCAGCCACACGGGAACGUGGACACGGUCCAUACUCCUACGGGAGGCAGCAGUGGGGAAUAUUGGACAAUGGGCGCAAGCCUGAUGCAGCCAUGCCGCGUGUAUUAAGAAGGCCUUCGGGUUGUAAAGUACUUUUAGCGGGGAUGAAGGGAGUUAAGCUAAUACGUAGGCACAUUGACGUUACCCGCAGAAGAAGCACCGGCUAACUCCGUG